UCAUGUCGUGCCGCCUUCUCAAAAUGGC
rnacentral:piRNA from 1 species